rnacentral:rRNA from 1 species
UUAAAUUGAAGAGUUUGAUCAUGGCUCAGAUUGAACGCUGGCGGCAGGCCUAACACAUGCAAGUCGAACGGUAACAGGAAGCAGCUUGCUGCUUUGCUGACGAGUGGCGGACGGGUGAGUAAUGUCUGGGAAACGGCCUGAUGGAGGGGGAUAACUA